UACGGGGGGGGCAAGCGUUGUUCGGAAUUACUGGGCGUAAAGGGCGCGUAGGCGGCGACUCAAGUUAGAUGUGAAAGUCCUGGGCUUAACCUGGGGACUGCAUUUGAUACUGGGUUGCUUGAAUUCGGGAGAGGAUAGCGGAAUUCCCAGUGUAGAGGUGAAAUUCGUAGAUAUUGGGAAGAACACCGGUGGCGAAGGCGGCUAUCUGGACCGACAUUGACGCUGAGGCGCGAAAGCGUGGGGAGCAAACAGGG
rnacentral:rRNA from 1 species